CUCCAUUGCUGUUUCACACGCUCUUCUUCCAGUCCAGCAAAGCAGGACUGCACCAAGCUUCAACCAAUCAUGAGGCUCCUCUGUCUUCUUUUUGCCAUCUUCUUAUUCUUCUGUCAAGCAUUUCCAGGAAAUGCUCAACCUCCAUCAGAUACAUUAGAAUGUGUUCGAAAUGGAGGUUACUGUAGGCCUCCAUCAUGCCCUCUUCCUUCACAGCCUACUGGAGGGACAUGUCAGAAUGGAUUCUUGACCUGCUGUAAAUGGCCUCGUGGAGGAAGUCGCACUGACUGAUCCAAUAAUGACAGACAACAUCAGAGUUCUGGGAUCGUGGAGAAAGCCUACCUAUUUCUGAAACUGAAGACACCAACUUCCACGUGGUAAAUGAAGAGCGUAUCAUCUGUCCUGUGAAUGAAUUUAAGCAGUGGGGAAAAUCUGGACACCCUCUGCCUUCAAUCUGUGGGAUGAAAUAAAAGUGUUAUGCAGUUAUAAAAUUUGAUCCUACAAUGAAUAGUUGAUUCAGCUGAAGUUGCACAUGCAGAAAAUGCUGGAAUCAAAAACAGAUUUCAAGUGAAGUGUCAAGCUCAGAGCUUCGAUUACUAAUGAGAAGUUUGAGAACUCAAUCUGAGAACUACAUUUUAAAAAAUAAAAAUCAUGACAUCAA